rnacentral:rRNA from 1 species
GCCCGCGGCUUUUCUAACACAUGCAACCUCGAGCGGAUGAAGGGAGCUUGCUCCUGGAUUCAGCGGCGGACGGGUGAGUAAUGCCUAGGAAUCUGCCUGGUAGUGGGGGAUAACGUCCGGAAACGGGCGCUAAUACCGCAUACGUCCUGAGGGAGAAAGUGGGGGAUCUUCGGACCUCACGCUAUCAGAUGAGCCUAGGUCGGAUUAGCUAGUUGGUGGGGUAAAGGCCUACCAAGGCGACGAUCCGUAACUGGUCUGAGAGGAUGAUCAGUCACACUGGAACUGAGACACGGUCCAGACUCCUACGGGAGGCAGCAGUGGGGAAUAUUGGACAAUGGGCGAAAGCCUGAUCCAGCCAUGCCGCGUG